GACGAACCGUGCGAACGUUGUUCGGAAUCACUGGGCUUAAAGGGCGCGUAGGCGGGAAUGUAGGUCCAGGGUGAAAUCCCCCGGCUCAACCGGGGAACUGCCUUGGAAACCCCCUUCCUUGAGGGAGACAGGGGCACAUGGAACUUCCAGUGGAGCGGUGAAAUGCGUAGAGAUUGGAAGGAACGCCGGUGGCGAAAGCGAUGUGCUGGAUCUCUUCUGACGCUGAGGCGCGAAAGCCAGGGUAGCGAACGGG
rnacentral:misc_RNA from 1 species